UUUUUAUGGAGAGUUUGAUCCUGGCUCAGGAUGAACGCUGGCGGCGUGCCUAAUACAUGCAAGUCGAGCGAACAGACGAGGAGCUUGCUCCUCUGACGUUAGCGGCGGACGGGUGAGUAACACGUGGAUAACCUACCUAUAAGACUGGGAUAACUUCGGGAAACCGGAGCUAAUACCGGAUAAUAUAUUGAACCGCAUGGUUCAAUAGUGAAAGACGGUUUUGCUGUCACUUAUAGAUGGAUCCGCGCCGCAUUAGCUAGUUGGUAAGGUAACGGCUUACCAAGGCAACGAUGCGUAGCCGACCUGAGAGGGUGAUCGGCCACACUGGAACUGAGACACGGUCCAGACUCCUACGGGAGGCAGCAGUAGGGAAUCUUCCGCAAUGGGCGAAAGCCUGACGGAGCAACGCCGCGUGAGUGA
rnacentral:rRNA from 1 species